UCUCGCUUAAUGCGUGACAUAGGGCACCCCUUAAGCUUAACGAGUGAGGUUAACUAGCCGAACAACUAGUUUAUCCAGCAGGCCACGUCCAGCCCACGUCGUUCUCUCCACCUCUUUCAGCCCAUUCAGCUAAGCAGCUGGCCGACGCAAAAGCCCACCCGGCUGCCGCUGCAAAUCUCCCAAUCGUUCGAGGGCAUCUCAUCCAGACUCGUUCCCCUCAAAAAAAAAAUUUCCAGACUCGUUUCUCAAAAGAAAAAAAAAAAUCUCAUCCAGACUCCGCCGCUUUUCUUGAGCUCGACGAGGAGAGGAGGUUGCGGAGACCAGAAGAGUGCGGCAGUGGGGGGUUCCGUCUCACCCGCCGCCACCAGCUGUCCGGCGCGCGCCGGUCCGUCGAAGAAGGGAGCUCCUCGCGCGACAUGGCCCGAGCUGUGUCAGUGCGCCCAAAUCCUCUGCUUCGGUUCCAAGGUGCGUGCCACACCACACCGUUGGAUCUCUCCGUCGACAGCGCUGGGCGAUUCUCGGCGCCUCCACACCCCCUUAGGCUGAGGUUCUAGCUGCGCCAAAUUCUACAUUCAUAUAUGGUAUUAAUAAGAGGUAUUAGUGGUGGGCUGAUCCCUUGAGAGAAUGUAAGGCAAUAACCUUCGAAUAACAAUCUGCUCCCAUGGCGGGGACAUCAACCGCAGCCACGGUCACACCGCUGUUUAUCCACCUACUGCGUGGCGCCAGCAACCACUCGUCCGUAGCCGCCACCCACAGGACGCUCCUCAAGGUCGGCACCGCCUCCGCUGUCUCUUCUUGAAACCACAUCAUCGCUUCUUACUGCCGAUGCAGCGCUACCGCCCACGCCCAUGACAUGUUCGAUGGAAUGGCCGAGCGGGACGUGGUCUCCUGGACAGCUCUCAUGUCCGGGUACUCUGGCGCCGGCCGACCCCGCCUCCGCCUGGCUGUUUCCCUCUUCCAUGAUAUGUGUCACAGAGGUGUGCCACCAAAUGCCUUCACCUUCUCGACUGCCGUCAGCGCGCGCGCACGCCUUGCUGAUGCUGGACUUGGCCGGAAAGUGCAUGCCCGUGCUGAGGUUGAACGCUACGCGUCUGACACUGUCGUUGCCACCGUGCUCAUCGACAUGUAUGGCAAGGCUGGAAAUGUGAAGAGUGCACGUGCAGUGUUUGAUGGUAUGGCUGCUCUGGCGAGGAAUGUGGUGUCACGGGGCUCGAUGCUGUCUGUAUAUGCACAGAAUGUGCUUGGGUGUGAGGCCAUCCAAUUUUUUGCCGAGUUCAGAACUGAAAGCAAUUUCAUGGCGCCCAACUACUUCAUGCAGUCAAGUGUUGUGAAUGCGUGUGCAGGCAUUGGGCGGCUUGGGGUUGGCAAGUCUGCACGGAACAGUCCUUUGGUUUGGGCAUGGAUGCAAUGGCUUGGUUGUUGUGGCUUUGUUUGAGAUGUACUCCAAAUGUGGACUCUAUGAGUACGCAAGAAAGGUGUUCGACAGGAUUCAGCAGCCAUCAGUUUUCGAAUAGGUAUAUUCCACAAGAAAGUCAAAGGACAAUAUCAAGAUAUUGGAGCGCACAACAAAUCUUGACAUGUUUCCGAAGGGAGUCAGCGGCAAGAUUUUGUUGAACAUACUCUCUAUAGGCAUGGACAUAUCAAAUUUACAGACUAUGAGUCUGACUGAGUCCAACAAAUCAUUUGAAUUCUUUCUAGAAGAUACCAACUCAUCUUACAAAAACCCAGAAGGUUAAAGUGGUGGACUGUAAGGAACUGGGAUUGUCUCUGGCUUUUGGCACUUCAUAAUUCAUACCCUGGUACAGUGUCCAACAUGAGUAUCUCAUUGUUCUUUAAGAGUAUUUCAGUUGAGUUGCAAAUCUUAUGAUAGGUAGGGACAAUCUCUUUAAAUUAUUCAUGCAAUCAUGCGGGAACUUACAUUCAUUUUACCAGUUCUGUUGUUUGCCAUCCCUGGUGCUAUGUAACUUUUGAUCUUGCUCUGUUGAAUCGUAGCUAUGGCUUAAUGACCUGGUUUGAUCUUUAUGCCAGUUAUAGGAAAAAUCCCAAGUGGGCGUGUUGAAAUGCCCGUGAUUGUGAAAAUCUCCAUUUUGGUAAGGUUUAGACUGAGGAAUGUUUUUUACUUUUUUUUUGACAAUGACAUUGUCGUUUUUAAGCUUGCUUUACUGCUAAGUACAUUGCAUAAAGAUGCAUGUGGAUGAACAAGGACUCAAAACCCUAUACUUUGCAAGUAUUGGAUUUUGUUCAUCAGGGAUCUCAUUCUGUGAUUCGUUGUCUUGUGGGAAUAUUGGAUUUUGUUUUCCUUGGGCUUAAUUACACAAUUUGUACACACAUAAUCUUGAUCGAAUAUUAGCUUUGUUGUCGAUCUGAAAGAAUAACGCUUGUGGUUUGCUGGCAGGGUUCAGAAGGUGACCACCAAAAUAUCUGAGAAAGUGGCAGGCUGGCAGCUGGAAUACUCUUACUUGUCUUUUGUGUAGUGCAGUGCAGAACUGCAUAUAGGUCAUUGGUUGCUUAGUUGUUUAACAAAGAGUUAGGUGGAUCAUGGAUUGUCUUGUGAAAUUUUUACUUGCAUUGCUUGGUCUGAGCCGGACUGAAGAUGUUCUUCUUAUCUAUGUUUGAAGUGGCAAAUCUGAUGAAGAUUCAUUCAAGAGAAGCCAUGUAUGAUCCACCUGCAAACCUGGAAGAUAAAUUACUUCCAUAUCGUGAGGAACAAAGUUAGCUUCUCUGAAAUCAGUCUCUGGAAGCAAAUGCCUUGACUUAGAAAUUUGGAGCUAUGGCCCAUGUGUAGGCAAGGGCAGUGAUCCCUUCUAUUACUUGAGGGGUGUAGCAGAGACUAUUGAAGCUCGUCUUCUGAAGUUGUGAUUGACUAGAACCAGGGGAAAGCCAAGGACUUUCUUUUUGCUUGCAUUGCUUGGAUUGAGUGGGAGUGAAGUUGUCUUUCUUUUUGUAUCUGAAUUCUGAAAUGACAAACCUAAUGAAGAUCCUUCAGAGGCGCUUUGGUUGUGCCUUUUCUCGCACUGAACCGGGCCAUCGAUGGAGCAGUCAAAGAAGCAAUGCCACAGUAGCAAAAAUAAGAAAAGAAGGCAUUCUGACAGUGUGCGUGCAUGAUCCAGUAGGAUGUGUUUAAUAGUAGCCACUAUAACUUGCCAUUGUUCAAACGAUUGCAAACAUCUGUUGUAAGAUUCCAGUGGAGGUAAACCAGCCAAGAUGCACAACAAACAAUAUCAACUGCUGCUGGCUGCUCCGCACACAGGUGCGAAAACAAACUUAACCCUUUGCCGAAAACAAUCCUCAGUACGGUUGCGCGGCGUACUUUUUCUCUCUCUCGGAAACACAAAAGCUUUGUACCUUGUUGUAUUGAAUAGGUAGGAGCAAACUUAAUUACACAACCAAGCGGCGUACUAUCGGUCCUAAAUCCUCGUUCGUGAGCACAUUCCCAGUGGAGCUCCAAAAUCUGCAGCUUAACAUUCAGAUGGCCCCUUCCAUUGAAGUUAAUUCAAGAGGCGAUGAGCCAGCCAGGCGAAUAAGAAACCCAAGCCGGCACCUUGCGGCUGCCCCUCCUGCCGUCGCCAGGGCUUGCCGUCAGGCUAAGCCUGCGUGGCGCCGGGCGGGGAGGUCCGUAUCUAGGAGGCCUGCUGUGGAGGCCUUGGAGAGUUGUUGUGGGAUAGCGAAGGUGAUGUAUGCUCGAGCGGCCGCUGUCGUCAGGCAGUGCACGCCAAUCGCAUUGGUGAAGUCAGUGGUCGCCGGAGGGAUCCAGCGUGGAGAUCUUCAUUGAUGUAAUUUUAUCUUUUCCAGGAGUGUUUGUACUUGCUGGUUUGGUUAAUACUCCCUCCGUUCGGAAAUACUUGUCAUCAAAAUGAAUAAAAGGGGAUGUAUCUAGAUGUAUUUUAGUUCUAGAUACACCCCUUUUUGUCCAUUUUGAUGACAAGUUUUUUCGGACGGAGGGAGUAGAUCUGAGUGUGUGUGUUUUUUUGAAAAAGAAAGUACAACACACUUGUUUUGGUGGGAUAAAAAAAUACCAAAGUGUAAGUUGAUUUAAUUUUCUUAUGUCUAACUUGAUUCAGAAAAAAAAACUCGCACUUUCACCUAGUAGCACUUGUUACUGAACUGACUUAGGCAUAGGAAAAAUCUCAAACGGUUUCUGAUUAAGAGAAGUGAUAUAGAAAGAAAAAAAAAAGAUAGCAGACAGCUGUUGGAGAAUCUUAUAAGAAUCACUUUAAUAACAAAGAUACUCGGGCAGAGACUACCCAACUUGUUACUCGGAACGCAAUAACCGGAUCUGGGUGGUUUGUUUUUGGUUAUAUAAGCACAUAUGCAUACCCUCGGAUCCUCCCAUUCUUCUUGUACCACACUCCUGAGCUCUCCCUCCUACCUGCGCUUCUGUGUUGCAGCUUUCCUUCUAUCAGCCGGAUCUAGCUCUCUAACAGGUUGUCGUAUGAUCAAUGGGUGAAACUGGAGCACCGAUGCCAUCUUGGAUGGAACUGUGGAAUGAGUGGGAGAUCCAAGCUGUUGUUGUUGCCAGCUUCAGUCUGCAGGUUAUCCUCUUCUUCUUCGCAGGGAUCCGCCGCUACAGCACCUCGUCUGUUCUCAAGGCCCUCCUCUGGCUGGUGUAUCUGUCUGCCGAUGUCGUUGCAACGUACGCCCUGGGGAACAUGUCCUCGUCGUUGACGAAAAAAUCGUCCGGCGAGCACCAGCUGGUGGCGUUCUGGGCGCCAUUCCUCCUGCUGCACCUUGGUGGCCAGGAUACCAUCACCGCUUACGCCCUGGAGGACAAUGAACUCUGGCGGCGCCAUCUGUUAAAUAUGUUUCUGCAGGUCGCCGGCACCGCGUAUGUGCUCUACAAGUACAUCAUUGCAGGCGGGGCGACCUUUAUCCCCGCCGCUAUGUUGGUUUUGGCCUAUCAAGUACGGCGAGAGGAUAUGGGCACUGAAGUGUGCAAGCAAGGGUUCCAAAGGGCCAAGUGGCUCUGUUCUCUUUGCCGGAAAGAAGAAAGAAAGUUCUGUUAUCUUUGCCGGAAAGAAGAAAGAAAGCUCUGUCCUCUUUGCCAUAAAGAAAAAAAAAUAAGCCGUGUCGUGAAGUACAUAUUUUUUUGUUUUAUUACCAUGCCUGGGCAAGACACGGAAACGAACCUUGGAGAUUUUGAAGGGCCCAUGCAAUCAGUUGAUGAAACAAUAGUAGAUUGCUUCACCAAACACAAACAGUUUGGAAUUUAUGCAUUUAUUGUGAUGACAGCACAUGCGUUGCGCUAUGCACUUGUCAAGCCUUUAAUCAUUGACAGGAAUGAGGCAUUCAUAGAUUGGAGUGGUACCACAAUUGGACUACUAAAUGGCCAUGCGGAAGAAUAUCCACGGGAGCUGUACAAGGCAAUACUGAGGAGCUGUACAAGGCAAUAGAGGUGGAGCUCGCCCUUAUGUACGACAUGUUGUACACCAAGGCACGAGUGAUCCACACAUGGUAUGGCUACUGCAUCCGUGCUAUUUCCCUUGUGUCUUGCUUCACUGCUCUUGUGUUCUUCACAAAAGACAAAAGAGAUGGUUACAGCACACCCGAUAUUGUAAUCACUUUUGGUCUUCUGGGCGGAGCUUGCGCACUAGAGGUUGCAUCUGUUUUCAAGGCGAUUGGAUCGACCUGGACAUAUGCCACCUUGAAAGGGUACGGAUGGAAGUGGCUGGCCAAUGCGAUUCUGUUUGCACGUUACCAUCUCGUCGUCGUCAAGGAUGGAAGGUGGUCCAAUUCUGUUGGGCAGUAUAAAUUCAUAUCCUUCUGUGCCAGGGAUGAGACCGAGCUCAGGGGAAGAAUAGCCAAAUGGAUUAGGCUUCGGGAAUUGUGGAACAAAGCUCACUACACCAAACAUGCCAAGCUUUCACCUGUCGUCAAGGAGUUUGUAUGGGACUUGCUCAGAGGUGCAAAGUCUGAUAUGGUACAAAUUGAAGAUGUGGCCAUCCGGAAUGGGUACUGGGCUCUUAGGUUAACGGGCUUCCAAGAGCUCAAUUGGAGCCUGAGUUUUGAAUUUCAGAAGAGCGUGCUUAUUUGGCAUUUAGCAACAAGCACCUUCCUCAAUGUCCCUGCCGUUAAAUCUCUACUGGCCAAAGAGGAUAAGGAAACGGCUAAAGCAGUCAAUACUCUCUCCGAGUACAUGAUGUACCUCCUCAUCGAGCACCCUGAUAUUCUGCCCAUGAAAGCAGCUGUCCGAAACCUGUUUCGCCUAACCUCCACCUCUUAUGCUGAGGAUUUUUCUGGAGAUAAUGUGGGUACGCCUCACCAGAUAAUUAUGGAUUACAUGAAACGACGUGUUGGGUAUAUACGAGAACUAUAUGAUGAUUUGACGCAAGACAGAUGGGAUGCUUACCCGGGCGAAGCUGUGCUGGUGAAAGCAUGCAGCCUUUCUCACACAAUGGUGGACAUGGAGUUGGGGCUCAAACAUAAGCUGGUAAUACUCGGAACAGUGUGGGUGGAGAUGUUGUGCUACGCAGCAACCAAUGCAACUGGGGGAUUCCACGCCAGGCAGCUGAGCAAUGGUGGCGAGUUUCUCACCCACAUCCUGCUCCUCACCAAAUAUUGUGCUGCUAUGCCCAACAUAGCAAAUCGGUAUGUCCGAGCAGCUGAUGAAACUGUGGAGUAUAGUCCUGGCGACCUCGAGAUAAUGGUGGACGGCAGGACCAGCACGAACAACAACUCCUACUACUAACAAUCUGCAGUUCAUUUUUGCUAUCGUGUUGAAUUUGUAAGUCCAUUUCCAUUCCAGUUUUAUUGCGGUUGGUGAAAUACCAACUUUUGCCCUUUUCGAAGUCCCACCAGAAUUAUAUGUAUGCUAAAUUCGGAUGUCACAACUCACAAGCUGUGCCAUAUGUAAAGUACGACUCUAAUGCUUAUUGGUUUCAUACUAGAUCCAUGUAGUGAUGUAAACCAGUCGUACAAAGGUGCAUUAAUAAUACAUAAUUAUC